rnacentral:rRNA from 1 species
AACGAACGCUGGCGGCGUGCCUAACACAUGCAAGUCGAACGAGAAAGGGGCUUCGGCUCCGAGUAAAGUGGCGCACGGGUGAGUAACACGUGGGUAACCUGCCUCUAAGAUUGGGAUAACUCGUCGAAAGAUGAGCUAAUACCGGAUAAGACCACAGUUCCCGCGGGAACAGGGGUCAAAGGUAGCCUCUGCUUGCAAGCUAUCACUUAGAGAUGGGCCUGCGCACCAUUAGCUAGUUGGAGGGGUAACGGCCUACCAAGGCAAAGAUGGUUAGCCGGUUUGAGAGGAUGAACAGCCACACUGGAGAUGAGACACGGUCCAGACUCCUACGGGAGGCAGCAGUGGGGGGUAUUGCGCAAUGGGCGAAAGCUUGACGCAGCAACGCCGCGUGAGUGAUGAAGGCCUUCGGGUCGUAAAGCUCUGUCGGGAGGAACGAAUGCUCCCAAGGUUAACAGCCUCGGGAGGUGACGGUACCUUCAAAGGAAGCACCGGCUAACUCUGUGCCAGCCGACGCAGUAACAC